UACGUAGGGUGCGAGCGUUAAUCGGAAUUACUGGGCGUAAAGCGUGCGCAGGCGGUUAUUUAAGUCAGGUGUGAGAGCCCUGGGCUUAACCUAGGAAUUGCGCUUGAGACUGGAUAGCUUGGAGUGCGGCAGAGGGAGGUGGAAUUCCACGUGUAGCAGUGAAAUGCGUAGAGAUGCGGAGGAACACCGAUGGCGAAGGCAGCCCCCUGGGCUAACACUGACGCUCAGGCACAAAAGCGUGGGGAGCAAACAGG
rnacentral:rRNA from 1 species